rnacentral:lncRNA from 1 species
CAUGCAGACAGAAGUUGGAGAGACCUUGACCGAACCUGAGGGGACGGUGGAAGGUCACCUCCCAGCAGGUGCCUCUCAGCAGUGCGGCAGCUCCCUUGAACACCAACCUCCUCUUGUUGCCUUGGAUACAGUCCUCGAGUCCUAGGGUCAUAAAGCCAUGGAAUCCUCAACUCCUAGAGUCACUGAAUCCUAGGAAACCCCAGAUUUCGGCGCUCAUUUUUGACUUAGGGAUGAUGCUGAGACAUCAGGGAGAAGGUCCCAUACAAGAGGCUAGAAUAAUAAAAGCUUCCUAUUAUUUGGAACAGCAACUGACUGCAUCAACAAUACCUUUGUCCAUUUCUGAUCCAAGAUCCCUCAGUCCAUUCCUGAGGAAAGGCAAUGGAUAUUUGAUUGCACCGAGAGUGUUGGACUGACUGAUGUCAGGACUGUGUGAACAGAAGGAAGAUCCUCCAGAACAUUCCCACUGGCACUCUGUGGGGACCAAAGUUUGUGGAAGACUUCAUGAAAAUUUACUGGGGA